rnacentral:rRNA from 1 species
AGCGUUGUCCGGAUUUAUUGGGCGUAAAGCGAGUGCAGGCGGUUCAAUAAGUCUGAUGUGAAAGCCUUCGGCUCAACCGGAGAAUUGCAUCAGAAACUGUUGAACUUGAGUGCAGAAGAGGAGAGUGGAACUCCAUGUGUAGCGGUGGAAUGCGUAGAUAUAUGGAAGAACACCAGUGGCGAAGGCGGCUCUCUGGUCUGCAACUGACGCUGAGGCUCGAAAGCAUGGGUAGCGAACAGGAUUAGAUACCCUGGUAGUCCAUGCCGUAAACGAUGAGUGCUAAGUGUUGGGAGGUUUCCGCCUCUCAGUGCUGCAGCUAACGCAUUAAGCACUCCGCCUGGGGAGUACGACCGCAAGGUUGAAACUCAAAGGAAUUGACGGGGGCCCGCACAAGCGGUGGAGCAUGUGGUUUAAUUCGAAGCAACGCGAAGAACCUUACCAGGUCUUGACAUCCAGUGCAAACCUAAGAGAUUAGGUGUUCCCUUCGGGGACGCUGAGACAGGUGGUGCAUGGCUGUCGUCAGCUCGUGUCGUGAGAUGUUGGGUUAAGUCCCGCAACGAGCGCAACCCUUGUCAUUAGUUGCCAUCAUUAAGUUGGGCACUCUAAUGAGACUGCCGGUGACAAACCGGAGGAAGGUGGGGAUGACGUCAAGUCAUCAUGCCCCUUAUGACCUGGGCUACACACGUGCUACAAUGGACGGUACAACGAGAAGCGAACCUGCGAAGGCAAGCGGAUCUCUUAAAGCCGUUCUCAGUUCGGACUGUAGGCUGCAACUCGCCUACACGAAGCUGGAAUCGCUAGUAAUCGCGGAUCAGCACGCCGCGGUGAAUACGUUCCCGGGCCUUGUACACACCGCCCGUCACACCAUGAGAGUCUGUAACACCCAAAGCCGGUGGGAUAACCUUUAUAGGAGUCAGCCG